ACGCACGCUGGCGGCGUGCUUAACACAUGCAAGUCGAACGGAAAGGCCCUGCUUUUGUGGGGUGCUCGAGUGGCGAACGGGUGAGUAACACGUGAGUAACCUGCCCUUGACUUUGGGAUAACUUCAGGAAACUGGGGCUAAUACCGGAUAGGAGCUCCUGCUGCAUGGUGGGGGUUGGAAAGUUUCGGCGGUUGGGGAUGGAUUCGCGGCUUAUCAGCUUGUUGGUGGGGUAGUGGCUUACCAAGGCUUUGACGGGUAGCCGGCCUGAGAGGGUGACCGGCCACAUUGGGACUGAGAUACGGCCCAGACUCCUACGGGAGGCAGCAGUGGGGAAUAUUGCACAAUGGGCGGAAGCCUGAUGCAGCAACGCCGCGUGCGGGAUGACGGCCUUCGGGUUGUAAACCGCUUUCGCCUGUGACGAAGCGUGAGUGACGGUAAUGGGUAAAGAAGCACCGGCUAACUACGUG
rnacentral:rRNA from 1 species